CUUUAUUACUCUUUUGAUCUACAGUUGUUUGCAAUUGUGAAGUUUGAUGUAGCUUACAGAUUUGUCUUCUAGGAUACAGGCUCCAAGCGGAGCUGGAAGGUGAACAACUUUAACGUGAAAAUCACUGGCUAAUGUUUUUCUUAUGACAGGGUUACAGACUUGGAGUACAGCUGCUCCGAGGGACAAGCCCUGGGAAUCUUCAAGAGAGAAUGUGCAACUUUCUUGUGUAUGUCUAAUUGUGUGAAGCUGACACAUGGACCUGAUAACAGCAUCCCAAGGUAUGGUGUAUAAGCUGAUUGGUGAGACGUGUUGCACAUUUAUCCCAGACGGAUAUUCCACAGGCGGCGACAUCUAUAAGGCCCUGCAGAAUCUAACAGCACUCCAGAAGUAUGUGACCAAUCACACGCCAGGAGCCUCAACACAGAAUUGGCUCACAUGGCUGACUUCUGGACCCUGGUGGCAUAUGCUACUGAAGAUCUUGACCCCAGUAUUUGUUUUUUUACUCUCUAUGUUUGUUGUGGUGACCUGUAUUCUCCCUUGCAUUAAGAGCAUGAUACAAAGGAUGGUGACUAAUACCUUUAUCUACUACGCAUUAGCCCAGGAAGACCCAGAGAAGGGCAUGAAAGAUUGUGUUCAAAUGAAGUAAGCAUUGAAAAUGCACCUGCAAGUGAUGCUGUACUGAUAGUUGACAACACAAGCUUUUAAAAUGUCAAACAGGAGGGAAUAAUGUUAGGUUUAAUGUAUGUGUUGUAGGUUGCCAUUUAAAAAGCUAGAAUGCUUCUGUUUGCGCUCUAUGUAACCCACACAUAUGAGUACGUGCACGACCUCGAUAAGGGGAACAGCCUUGAGAAAGAACAGAUUCUACCGACAAUAUCCUGGGAGAGCUGCACUCCCAUCAUAAAACCACACACAUUGUAUAACCAUGCUUGCUCAGCACAAUCACACUUUGUAACCAGUUAUAGUAAUUUCUCAUAGGUAAUACAACAACAAGCUUUAUGAAUAUUCAUGUGUGUAACCAAUAAAAACAACCUGCAGGGGGAAAGCAAGUUGAAGUGGGUUGGAGACAACUGCUUCCCUCUCGCAAGUGAAAACUUGAGCUCUGUGUGACCCCGUUCCUGAGUGAGUUUCUGUUUAUCCAGCAGUAUCAGGGGUAAAACUCUGACAAGUAGUGUGUCACACAAACAGCAAAUAUUGUCAAAAAAAGUAAGAAAACAUGGGGGUGCUUUGAUUCAUUUUGGGGCUGCUUCAGCACCCCGGAAAAUGGGCUAAAAAACACAAAAAGUAAUCACUGAAAAGUCCACAAUACCUGAAGUUUUUAAUAGUUUCUGCAGCUGAAAGUAGCCGUUUAAACAGUUUAAAUCUUAAUGUUAGUGUUGGAGCUAUUUGUUCUUGAUUUUUAUUAUUUUGAAAUUUGUUAAAGUUUGUUGUUGGUUUCCCAAACUGGAUAAAUAAACCAUAAAACGCGACUUUCAAGUUUGGACAGUCGACUUCUUUUGCCUGCGUACAAGAUCUUAUCUCAGUGCAGCAGUGCCUUGUGGAUUUUUAAUUGUUGGACCUUUGGUUGGUCAAACUAACGGAAUCACCACUACAUAAAGUAAAAACUCUUGCCCGUGGACCAGAAGGAAUAAUCCUUCAUUAAUGGAUAUGUUGGAUAUAUAGAUUUCAUGGAUCACCAUCGAACAAAAGUUAUUAGAUCGUCUUUGGAGUAAUCCAGAAGGAGUUGCUGCUUGAGGCUUGGAUCAACACGUCACUCAUUGAUCAAAACUGGUGAGUGAUAAUAUUGUUUAGGCCGUAAAGGAAAACGGUGAAGCUAUUGGAGUUUAAAGACAUUAUUUCAGUACAAGGACUGAUGAACUGAGUUUUGAUGUGCUAAACUGGUGCGUAAUUGGAUCGCUAAUUGAAACAUGCCCACGCCUGUCGUGGAAAUGUUUGUUCACUGGAAUCAGCAGGUAAAUAGAUGACAUGUUUGUGCUUUAUGCUGUGGAUUGGCAGUGUGCUGUGCAUCUUUGGAAUGUUUGAUAUAAUUCAAAAGAACGAUAAAAAAAAUGUCGGAUAAGCGUAAACAAAAGGAUGACACUCCGAUGCAAUUGGAGAAAAGAAGCAUCAAGUUCACACCAAAAGGUUUAGAUAUGUAUAUAAAACAUGUCCAGAAAAGCGGAGUUCAAAAUGUAAGCAAGCCUCUAAGUCAGUGGGAAAAAAAUCUCCUCCUUGGAUGAAAUAAAUCCUGAAGACAGUAUCUCUAAUAUCUCAGGCGUAAAGCUGCGUUCAAAAACAUUUUCAAAGCAAAGCCGAAUUUCAUCAACAUCUUCUUCGCGCAUUAAAGCUGCGGCUGACAAGGCAGCGCUCAUGGAGCGACUCGCUGCAUUAAAGAAAAAAAUUUUUUUUAUUGAAGCGCAAGAGGAAAAACUGAGAAAAGGAGAAAUUAUCCUUGGAAACGGAGUUGGCAGCAACAAAUGCAAAGCUUUGUGUCUUAAAAUAAAAACUCGGUUCGGCCCCCGGUGAACGUUCUGAUGGAAUGAACUCUUAUUUUGAAAGAGGGCACGUACAAGAAGGGUCUAGGUUAAACCCUUGUGCUGACACAUUUGUUCCAAUAGAAAGAGAUUACUCUGGUAUAAAUGCUGCAUCUGAAUCACAGGUCUUCAUACCUAAACAAAGUCAAAAACAACAUCAGGUGGAUGAGAUGAUGGUAAAAGUUGAUGCUUCAGCUCAGGUGACGCAGCAAACACAGCCUCAAUCUACUGAGAACCAUACUAAUGAGAUUGUUAUUAUUAUGUAAAAACACAAUGACAUCACUACUUUACUUGUAAAACAAAACUUAUCUUCUGUGCUCCCAGCCAGAAACAUCCCUGUGUUUGAUGGAGACCCUUUACAGUAUAGAUCAUUUAUAAAUGCCUUUGAAAAUGGAGUGGAAGCUAAAAGUUAUAGCGACUGUUUGCAUUUUUUUUAGAGCAGUUCACUGGGGGGCAGCCUAAAGACUUGGUGCAUAGUUGUCAGCAUUUACCUCCUGAGGAGGGCUAUUCCAGAGCCAAACAUCUUCUUGAAGAACAUUUUGGGAAUGAAAAUUAAAUUGCCUCUGCAGAUUUGGAGAAGAUUAUGAGUCGGGCACCUAUUAAAAGUGAAGAUGUGAAAGGUCUUCAGUCAUUCUCUCUUUUUUGUCAAGGAUUUUGAAAUCUAACACAGUAAAUUGUUUAUAUGAAGGAGUUGGAUUUGCCCUCAAACAUGAGAAUGAUUGUUAUGAAACUUCCUUACAAAUUGAGGGAAAAAUGGAGACGAGCUAAAAUGCAUUGGGAUAAGUUGACUUUUAUCAAGGAGAGGUUGUUUCCUUGUGUUUUGGUUCUUUUAAAGUUGGUCACACAGGCAAAGACUGUAGGAGUCGUUUGGAUUGUGACGUGUGUCACCAAAAGCACCCAGGGGUCCUUCAUAUAGAGCAAAAAGAUCCAGGUGCAUCCUCAGAACAAACUCAACAGAUGACAAACUCUGAUGUCAACUUCUCAACUGCAACCACUCAGACAUGUGGGUAUAUUUGGCCCGGUUAAGAGGUUGAUGCAGUUUUUCUAUUGUUGCAGUUCAAGUUAAGAGCCAAAAGAGCAGUAGAAUUGUGCAAACAUAUGCAUUUCUGGAUCCUGGACAUUCAGGUACAUUCUGUACAGAAACCGUGGCAAAAAGACUGAAUCUAAAUGGUAAAAAGACCAAUAUCCUUCUGAGAACAAUGAGUCGAAGUAGGAUUGUUAGUGCACUGUCUGUCUGGUUUGGAAGCAAAGAAUUUCAUGGCGUUGCCAGAUGUUUUGACUCAAAAGACCAUGCCAGUUUCUGCGGUGAAUAUUCCCAUGCAAGGGGAUAUUGAUCAGUGGCCUCACCUGUUAAACUUCACAACAUUGAUGCAGAUGCGGAGCUACUGAUAGGCACUGAUGCCUCCAACGCUUUAGAGUCAUGGAAGGUGAUACAGUGUGGAAGGUGGACCUUAUGCUGUAAAAACCAAAGUUGGCAAAGUUGUUGUGGAUGUGUUACCCCUCAGAGCUGCCCAAGCAUAUGCUGCUCCUAGAUGUAAAGACCAUAUGGAACUCUCUGUAUUUGAUGAAGGAGAGAUUCUGCAAGCAGUUUCCUGCCAUCCAGGCUGCAGCCAUCGAUCCACGGAUAAGAAAGUCCAUGUAAAAAGAAAGACUGGCUAAAAUGGGCAAUGAUGACUUAAGAAAAGCAGAGGAGUUUGUGGUGCUCAUGCGGAAGCACUACACCUCCACACUAGCAGCGACAAAAGUCCGACCUGUGGUGAGAUUCUGCCCAUCCUGCAAAAGCUACUGCAACACUACACCGUGCAAGAAGAUGACUGUCUUCACAAGGAGCAGAACAUUUGGAAAGAUCUUUCCAAACGAUACCAGGAUGCUGAUAUCCAGAGAUUCCAGGAGGAGGCCACCAUCUUGGACCCCUGAUUUAAAUCCAAAGUGAAUAAGGAUGAAGUCUGGGACAGGAUCAGGGAAGCAGCAGGGAAGCAGCAAACACAGAGGCAGGACCAGAUGAGCACCUGGAGCAAGGAGACACACAGGGAGAGUUGUUCGAAGAUGAAGAUGAGGAUGAAAAAGACUAUGCAAGUUUAGUUCAUCGUGAAGUUAAUUUAGAUGUCAUGGAUUGUUCAUUUUCUGCUUAACAUUUUUAUUAUGUCUAUUUAAUUUCAGUAAAGCAGAAAAAAAAACUGCCUUGGAGGAACUCUUUGAAGAGGAGGACAACAGGCUGCAGUCAUUCCAACAACGGCAGCCCGUUCUUUCCCUGGCCCAGAGAGUGGAUCAGGAGAUCCAGCUGUAUAGAAACCUAACCCCCAUCCCCUGCAAGGAUAACGCCACCCUAUGGUGGUGGAGCAAGAGAGAGACUCUGCCCCCGCUGUCAGCACUGGCUGAAAGCUUUCUGUGUGUGCAGGCAUCCUCCACCCCGUCUGAGAGGUGGUUUUCCACAGCUGGAGAGACCAUAAGUCCAGAAAGAUCACGUAUCCUUCCUGAAAAAGCAGAUAUGCUUAUAUUUCUGCAAAAGAAUUUGUAAUUCUCCAUAGUUGAUGGAUGCAGAAUUGCACAGUGUCAUUGGACUUGAGUUGAUUGUAUUUUUUGCUGGCUGAUGUAGUUUUAUUUUUGAGUGCUCAGCUCAUAUAUACGUUUAAAAAGGAGAGUGUAAAUGUUACUGGGCAUUCUUGUGUAACUGCCACAGAAUAAUUUAUGUUAUACUUUGUUAUUGCUACAGAAGAAUAUUUAUUUUAUUAUUAUUUUACAUUUACAUUUUUUUUUCUGGGGACCUGUGGCACCCCAUCGAGGAGCCGUAGGCUGUGGAUCUCUUAAGAUCUCACUGUUGGAUUUGUAAGGUCAUGCUAGUCUUAAAUUUUGUUCAAAGAUAAGAUAAAAAAAAAGUUCUAAGCUAAUCGACCUGUAUGUUCUCCUUUUUAAAAAAUAAGAAUCGAUGGGAGAAUCAAUAAAGAAUCGAUAAAGAUUCGAAUUGUUAAACAGAAACUAAAAUGGAAACAGAAUCGUAGAGGCAUGAGAGCUGGGGAUUUCCUCAAAUGUAGGAGGUGGAUAAAUGGGCAAGACUUUCUCUACAAGUCAGAGGAGGAGUGGCCUAAACUGGAUGUGGAUUGCAGUGUAAUUUCUGCAGAUGACCCAGAGGUCAAAAAGGACCUGACAGUGAAUGUCAUUGUGAAGGAAUCACAAAAUCCUACAAACUAAACACUUCUUGUCUUGGGCAAAACUCAAAGUCUCUGUAGCCUGGUUUUUAAAGCUGAAAGAGACCUUAGUGUUGCUCGGGCAGAAAGAGGAAAGAGUUGGUUGCUGCAGAUCUGAAUAAGAAUGAUCGGGAA